CCUACCCGUUAAAACUUGGAUCCAUCGUUUGGGGAUACUUUAUCUUCUGCUGAACCAGAGAUACCUUCCAUCUCCCUACUGGUUUCAACGAUGCCACUGUGAAUGACGUUAAACAAUGUGUGCAGGCAGCCAGGCUGUGGAGAGAGAUACAAUACGAGAGGUGCAGCAGCAGCAGCCACACGGAGACGGGGCCGGAAAUCAACGAACCCAACCAGCGACGAUUAUGAGCCCGAAUCCAACUUUCCUGAACAUGGAUGGACUUAUGAGCUCCAGCAACACUCAGCAGCAGUAGGAUGACUACGAGAAAAGCUCGAACUCAAUGAGCCGAAUGGAGACGGUGGCAUAAACUGUUCAGCGGCUUGAAGGACGAGGAAUGCUAGCCCGGCAAUAAGGGAAAGUGCUUCAACGCGGAUGAACAUUGAAAGAAGCUCAUUUGCUAGUUCCACCUCCAAAUUGUCCAUAAAUUGGCUGGCAUGUCACGGAAGUAAUACCAAAGCAAUUCUUACAGCUUCACCUUAUGGCCAUGGAAUAUGGAAAUACUCUACAAAAUGGAGGAGCUACUGGAUCUGCCCCAAAUAUUCGAUAUGCUGGCAAGUCAUAACUAUCGCAGCUCGUGUGAGUUGUCAGCCAGCUCCAAUAAAAAUAUUGCUCGGAUCAUCGAGCAUGAUCAACACAGUUCCUCUGGUAGAGGAGUAAAUAGCUUUUAUUGGAAAUAAUCACAUAAAUAAUAAUAAUUUAAAACUUGUAAUACAAUUCUUUUGGAACACGCCGCAGGACGUAUCUGGAGAGUCUGCAGAAGCUGUUUAACCGCACACAUCCGCUUUGCCAAGAAAUUUGAGCUGACAAAUUUGAGUCCAGCCGCCAGGUGGAUGUUGCCUAGCUCAAGGUGCUGGUCUAUAUCGAGUCGCAAACGAUUUACCGCCUGAUGGAAAUAUCGCAUAGCUGCUGGGACCGCAAAACGGUCUCUGUGCUGCUUACAUCAUAAUCAUGCUUGUGAUAAGUGACAAGGACGUGCUGAGCGGAAUCUACGACCAUCAUUGUCGCGAGAAGCUAAAUCGGAAGACCACCUGGUCUGCUAUAGCCGUCUGUACAAGAUGGAGCGGUGUUCAUCAUCAACGCCUGGCUGGUCAAGAUGUGCAGCAAGAAGAAGAAUGUCGUGUCGCACUCGUUCCGCAAGAGACUCGCACUGCGCCGCGGCUAUCCGUUCUUCAUCAGACUGUGGAUGGCAAGAUCCUAUUCACCAACAAUGUCUUUUUGUACAG